rnacentral:rRNA from 1 species
GGGCCCGCACAAGUGGUGGAGCAUGUGGUUUAAUUCGACGCUACGCGAAGAACCUUACCUGGGCUUGACAUGGACCGGAAUGUACUGGAGACAGUGCAGCUCUUUGAGUCGGUUCACAGGUGCUGCAUGGCUGUCGUCAGCUCGUGCCGUGAGGUGUUGGGUUAAGUCCCGCAACGAGCGCAACCCUUACUCUUAGUUGCCAUCGGGUAAUGCCGGGCACUCUAGGGGGACUGCCAGCACAAGCUGGAGGAAGGUGGGGAUGACGUCAAGUCAGCAUGGCCCUUACGUCCAGGGCUACACACGUACUACAAUGCUACGGACAAAGGGCAGCAAGUUCGCGAGGACAAGCAAAUCCCAUAAACCGUUCGUAGUCCGGAUUGGAGUCUGCAACUCGACUCCAUGAAGUCGGAAUCGCUAGUAAUCG